UGAGAGCCCGGGGUGGCUGCCUUGUUCGUCGAGGCAGAGGAGUCUCCAACGACGGCACAGGGAUAGUGGCGAGUCUUCAGGAAGGGGAGGCAAGGUUGAACGACGGCCCUCGCCGAGUUUUGGAGCACAGCUGCGGUUUGCUGGACCCAAGCCGACUUUACGACUGCGCUGUGUCAAACAAUUUUCGGGCUCGACAGCCUAUAGUAGCGGCAGAGAAGGCCAACUCCGUCGACUUAGUCGAUUCUCAAACAAAUAAGAAGAAACACAAUAAAGAAGAAGAAAAGUAUGCGGCGUAAAUCACUAUUAACUAAGAAAUUUAUAGCUAAAAAUCUAGGUUUUAAGUUUCCAUUAUUAAACAUCUUUCCAAAAACAAUUCUUUCUUUCUAAACUUCAGUAUAAUCAUUCUAUAUUUACAAUGGCUGUGUAGAAAUUAAAUAAGGAAACUAAAUUAAUACAUACCAUGAUUGUGUAGGAAGAAUCAUGGCAGAUCGCGGAGGGAAAACAAUUCUUUCUUUCUAAACUUCAGUAUAAUCAUUCUAUAUUUACAAUGGCUGUGUAGAAAUUAAAUAAGGAAACUAAAUUAAUACAUACCAUGAUUGUGUAGGAAGAAUCAUGGCAGAUCGCGGAGGGCGCCGGAGCCGGUGGUACGGACUGAUCGACAGCGGCGGAGCUCGGGGCGGAGGCGCGCGUUCGAGCAUCGAGAGGAACUUCGGCGAAUUCUACGAAAAACAGAAAAGAGGGGAAAUGGGAAACCCCCAAAUCUGCAGAUACAAAAAGAGGGCUUCUGUGAAUUCUUCUUCUUUCUUCCUGCGAUUGUGAGGGGCCGCAGGUUCUGGUCGGAUCAAAAGGUGGAAUCAACUAAUCCCUGUGAACAAUCGCGAUGGCAGGCGUUAGUGGAGCAGAACAACAUUAGGCCUCGAUCUCACGAAAGGCGGAUUGGUAGUCAUGCACCUGCUUUGGGGCGACAGUGGUGGACGUUACGGUGGCGACUGCACUCGACGCCGCCAUGGUUGCGGCGACAGUAUUGAGAGAAGGAGUCGGCGGUGGCGAAUCCAUGGCCGAGUGAGAGAUAGCAAGAGGUGGGGAUUGUGUGAUCAUGAGCAAGAAUGAAAAAGAUAGAUCUGAAAUUCGAUGGGAGAAAUCGAUGACUGAGAGAGAAGAAUGAAAGAGGCAUAGAUCUGAAAAUCGAUGUGGAAGAACCGAUGAAUUUGGGAGAGAAGAGAUCUGGGAGAGAACCGAUUACUCGGACAUGGAAGAAAUGAUUUCUU
rnacentral:lncRNA from 1 species